UACGUAGGUGGCAAGCGUUGUCCGGAAUUAUUGGGCGUAAAGCGCGCGCAGGCGGCCUUUUAAGUCUGAUGUGAAAGCCCACGGCUCAACCGUGGAGGGUCAUUGGAAACUGUAAGGCUUGAGUGCAGAAGAGGAGAGCGGAAUUCCACGUGUAGCGGUGAAAUGCGUAGAGAUGUGGAGGAACACCAGUGGCGAAGGCGGCUCUCUGGUCUGUAACUGACGCUGAGGCGCGAAAGCGUGGGGAGCGAACAGG
rnacentral:rRNA from 1 species